rnacentral:rRNA from 1 species
GGGUUGUGAGGUUAAGCGACUAAGCGUACACGGUGGAUGCCCUGGCAGUCAGAGGCGAUGAAGGACGUGCUAAUCUGCGAAAAGCGUCGGUAAGGUGAUAUGAACCGUUAUAACCGGCGAUGUCCGAAUGGGGAAACCCAGUGCAAUUCGUUGCACUAUCGUUAACUGAAUACAUAGGUUAACGAGGCGAACCGGGGGAACUGAAACAUCUAAGUACCCCGAGGAAAAGAAAUCAACCGAGAUUCCCCCAGUAGCGGCGAGCGAACGGGGAGCAGCCCAGAGUCUGAAUCAGCUUGUGUGUUAGUGGAACGGUCUGGAAAGUCCGACGGUACAGGGUGAUAGUCCCGUACACCAAAAUGCACAGGCUGUGAACUCGAAGAGUAGGGCGGGACACGUGGUAUCCUGUCUGAAUAUGGGGGGACCAUCCUCCAAGGCUAAAUACUCCUGACUGACCGAUAGUGAACCAGUACCGUGAGGGAAAGGCGAAAAGAACCCCGGCGAGGGGAGUGAAAAAGAACCUGAAACCGUGUACGUACAAGCAGUGGGAGCACCUUCGGGUGUGACUGCGUACCUUUUGUAUAAUGGGUCAGCGACUUAUAUUCUGUAGCAAGGUUAACCGUAUAGGGGAGCCGCAGGGAAACCGAGUCUUAACUGGGCGUUAAGUUGCAGGGUAUAGACCCGAAACCCGGUGAUCUAGCCAUGGGCAGGUUGAAGGUUGGGUAACACUAACUGGAGGACCGAACCGACUAAUGUUGAAAAAUUAGCGGAUGACUUGUGGCUGGGGGUGAAAGGCCAAUCAAACCGGGAGAUAGCUGGUUCUCCCCGAAAGCUAUUUAGGUAGCGCCUCGUGAACUCAUCUUCGGGGGUAGAGCACUGUUUCGGCUAGGGGGUCAUCCCGACUUACCAACCCGAUGCAAACUACGAAUACCGAAGAAUGUUAUCACGGGAGACACACGGCGGGUGCUAACGUCCGUCGUGAAGAGGGAAACAACCCAGACCGCCAGCUAAGGUCCCAAAGUCAUGGUUAAGUGGGAAACGAUGUGGGAAGGCACAGACAGCCAGGAUGUUGGCUUAGAAGCAGCCAUCAUUUAAAGAAAGCGUAAUAGCUCACUGGUCGAGUCGGCCUGCGCGGAAGAUGUAACGGGGCUAAACCAUGCACCGAAGCUGCGGCAGCGACACUAUGUGUUGUUGGGUAGGGGAGCGUUCUGUAAGCCUGCGAAGGUGACCUGUGAGGGUUGCUGGAGGUAUCAGAAGUGCGAAUGCUGACAUAAGUAACGAUAAAGCGGGUGAAAAGCCCGCUCGCCGGAAGACCAAGGGUUCCUGUCCAACGUUAAUCGGGGCAGGGUGAGUCGACCCCUAAGGCGAGGCCGAAAGGCGUAGUCGAUGGGAAACAGGUUAAUAUUCCUGUACUUGGUGUUACUGCGAAGGGGGGACGGAGAAGGCUAUGUUAGCCGGGCGACGGUUGUCCCGGUUUAAGCAUGUAGGCUGGUUAUCCAGGCAAAUCCGGAUAAUCAAGGCUGAGGUGUGAUGACGAGGCACUACGGUGCUGAAGUAACAAAUGCCCUGCUUCCAGGAAAAGCCUCUAAGCAUCAGGUAACAUCAAAUCGUACCCCAAACCGACACAGGUGGUCAGGUAGAGAAUACCAAGGCGCUUGAGAGAACUCGGGUGAAGGAACUAGGCAAAAUGGUGCCGUAACUUCGGGAGAAGGCACGCUGGUGUGUAGGUGAAGCCCCUGCGGGUGGAGCUGAGACCAGUCGAAGAUACCAGCUGGCUGCAACUGUUUAUUAAAAACACAGCACUGUGCAAACACGAAAGUGGACGUAUACGGUGUGACGCCUGCCCGGUGCCGGAAGGUUAAUUGAUGGGGUUAUCCGUAAGGAGAAGCUCUUGAUCGAAGCCCCGGUAAACGGCGGCCGUAACUAUAACGGUCCUAAGGUAGCGAAAUUCCUUGUCGGGUAAGUUCCGACCUGCACGAAUGGCGUAAUGAUGGCCAGGCUGUCUCCACCCGAGACUCAGUGAAAUUGAACUCGCUGUGAAGAUGCAGUGUACCCGCGGCAAGACGGAAAGACCCCGUGAACCUUUACUAUAGCUUGACACUGAACAUUGAGCCUUGAUGUGUAGGAUAGGUGGGAGGCUUUGAAGCGUGGACGCCAGUCUGCGUGGAGCCAACCUUGAAAUACCACCCUUUAAUGUUUGAUGUUCUAACGUUGGCCCCUUAUCGGGGUUGCGGACAGUGUCUGGUGGGUAGUUUGACUGGGGCGGUCUCCUCCCAAAGCGUAACGGAGGAGCACGAAGGUUAGCUAAUCCUGGUCGGACAUCAGGAGGUUAGUGCAAUGGCAUAAGCUAGCUUGACUGCGAGCGUGACGGCGCGAGCAGGUGCGAAAGCAGGUCAUAGUGAUCCGGUGGUUCUGAAUGGAAGGGCCAUCGCUCAACGGAUAAAAGGUACUCCGGGGAUAACAGGCUGAUACCGCCCAAGAGUUCAUAUCGACGGCGGUGUUUGGCACCUCGAUGUCGGCUCAUCACAUCCUGGGGCUGAAGUAGGUCCCAAGGGUAUGGCUGUUCGCCAUUUAAAGUGGUACGCGAGCUGGGUUUAGAACGUCGUGAGACAGUUCGGUCCCUAUCUGCCGUGGGCGCUGGAGAAUUGAGGGGGGCUGCUCCUAGUACGAGAGGACCGGAGUGGACGCAUCACUGGUGUUCGGGUUGUCAUGCCAAUGGCACUGCCCGGUAGCUAAAUGCGGAAGAGAUAAGUGCUGAAAGCAUCUAAGCACGAAACUUGCCCCGAGAUGAGUUCUCCCUGAGACUUUAAGUCUCCUGAAGGAACGUUGAAGACGAUGACGUUGAUAGGCCGGGUGUGUAAGCGCAGCGAUGCGUUGAGCUAACCGGUACUAAUGAACCGUGAGGCUUAACCUUACAACGCCGAAG